ensembl:miRNA
ACCCUAGGGUGGGGUUGGAGGUGGGACUGAGGCUGAGUCUUCCUCCCCUUCCUCCCUGCCCAG